rnacentral:rRNA from 1 species
UACAGGGGGGGCAAGCGUUGUUCGGAUUCACUGGGCGUAAAGGGUGCGUAGGUGGUCGAGUAAGUCUGAUGUGAAAUCUUCGAGCUCAACCCGAAAAUGGCAUUGGAUACUAUUCGGCUGGAGGGUUGGAAGGGGGACUGGAAUUCUCGGUGUAGCAGUGAAAUGCGUAGAUAUCGAGAGGAACACCGGUGGCGAAGGCGAGUCCCUGGACAAUCCCUGACACUGAGGCACGAAAGCUAGGGGAGCAAACAGG